rnacentral:rRNA from 1 species
UUACCCCAAGUGAAGUGAAAAUACCCG